AGAGUUUGAUCCUGGCUCAGGGUGAACGCUGGCGGCGUGCCUAACACAUGCAAGUCGAACGGUUCUAAGCGCGAGCUUAGGAUAGUGGCGAACGGGUGAGUAAAAGGUAGGAAUCUACCCCUUGGACGGAGAUAGCUACUGGAAACGGUAGGUAAACUUCGAUAAGCCCGAGAGGGGAAAGUGGUGAGACAGCCGAGGGAUGAGCCUACUCUCCAUCAGGUAGUUGGUGAGAUAAAAGCUUACCAAGCCGAUGACGGAUAACCGGUGUGAGAGCAUGAACGGUCACAAGGGCACUGAGAGACGGGCCCUACUCCUACGGGAGGCAGCAGUGGGGAAUCUUGGACAAUGGGCGAAAGCCUGAUCCAGCGACGCCGCGUGGAGGAAGAAGUCCUUCGGGAUGUAAACUUCUGAACUAGCCGAAUAAAAGGCCUGUGGACACACAGGAGAAGAAAGUAGGCUAGGAAAAGUCCCGGCUAACUACGUGCCAGCAGCCGCGGUAAU
rnacentral:rRNA from 1 species